UAUGUCUGCUGUUAGUGGAGGACUUCAGUAGCGCUGUGGAUGGUGUAGAAAGCUAACUCUGUUCUUCUAACCACAGACUUUUAAAGCUUGGUAAAUAAACACUGGAUAAACUCAAGAGAAUUUCUGCACUGCAAAGACUUCUUACGCUUUUGAGUUCUCCAGGGCUGGCAUGUUUUGACUGAACUGCUGCAAUGACUCUGGAAACAGUCUGACUUUUCUAGUUGAUCAAAAGAAAAACAAAUAACCUCAGCUAUGGAGAGAAAAAGACAGCUACAAAAAAGGGAAAUUGGGAAAAGACUUUCUCUGGACAGCAGUCUUGUGGAAUAUAUGGACUCAAACAAAUAUAUAGAGCACUUAGUGACUCAGCUGGAAGAGCAACGCUGGAAUUUAUGGAGGCAAG